GACGAACGCUGGCGGCGUGCCUAAUACAUGCAAGUAGAACGCUGAAGGAGGAGCUUGCUCUUCUGGAUGAGUUGCGAACGGGUGAGUAACGCGUAGGUAACCUGCCUGGUAGCGGGGGAUAACUAUUGGAAACGAUAGCUAAUACCGCAUAAGAGUAGAUGUUGCAUGACAUUUGCUUAAAAGGUGCAAUUGCAUCACUACCAGAUGGACCUGCGUUGUAUUAGCUAGUUGGUGGGGUAACGGCUCACCAAGGCGACGAUACAUAGCCGACCUGAGAGGGUGAUCGGCCACACUGGGACUGAGACACGGCCCAGACUCCUACGGGAGGCAGCAGUAGGGAAUCUUCGGCAAUGGACGGAAGUCUGACCGAGCAACGCCGCGUGAGUGAAGAAGGUUUUCGGAUCGUAAAGCUCUGUUGUAAGAGAAGAACGAGUGUGAGAGUGGAAAGUUCACACUGUGACGUAUCUACCAGAAAGGAC
rnacentral:rRNA from 1 species